CUUGUUACUCACUGGAUGUCUCUUCUGUGGCCCAUUAUUCCUAACCUUUUGCUUCCUUAACACCGUAGCCAUCACCUACACUGCAACCGCUGCAUUACCCUUUGGAACCAUUGUGGUGAUCGUCCUUAUAUGGACUCUAGUUACCUCACCUUUACUCGUUUUGGGUGGUAUCGCGGGUAAAAACAGCAAAGCAGAGUUCCAAGCACCAUGCCGUACAACCAAAUAUCCUCGUGAGAUUCCACCACUCCC
rnacentral:lncRNA from 1 species